UGGGGAAUAUUGGACAAUGGGCGCAAGCCUGAUCCAGCCAUGCCGCGUGCAGGAUGACGGUCCUAUGGAUUGUAAACUGCUUUUGUACAGGAAGAAACAGUUCUACGUGUAGAACCUUGACGGUACUGUAAGAAUAAGGAUCGGCUAACUCCGUGCCAGCAGCCGCGGUAAUACGGAGGAUCCAAGCGUUAUCCGGAAUCAUUGGGUUUAAAGGGUCCGUAGGCGGUUAGAUAAGUCAGUGGUGAAAGCCCAUCGCUCAACGGUGGAACGGCCAUUGAUACUGUCUGACUUGAAUUAUUAGGAAGUAACUAGAAUAUGUAGUGUAGCGGUGAAAUGCUUAGAGAUUACAUGGAAUACCAAUUGCGAAGGCAGGUUACUACUAAUGGAUUGACGCUGAUGGACGAAAGCGUGGGUAGCGAACAGGAUUAGAUACCCCGUAGUCCCUGAGCGGGCUGGCAAGGCGCAU
rnacentral:rRNA from 1 species